GGGAGUUUGGCCGAGUGGUUUAAGGCGUCAGAUUUAGGUUGUAUCGACCAAAAUCUCUGAUAUCUUCGGAUGCAAGGGUUCGAAUCCCUUAGCUCUCA
rfam:Torulaspora delbrueckii CBS 1146 chromosome 3, complete genome